rnacentral:rRNA from 1 species
UACAGAGGUCCCAAGCGUUACUGAGAAUCACUGGGUUUAAAGGGUGCGUAGGUGGUCCGUUAAGUUCGUUGUGAAAUCCCUGGGCUCAACCCAGGAACUGCUUCGAAUACUGGCGGACUUGAGGCCAGUAGGGGUCACUAGAACUGACGGUGGAGCGGUGAAAUGCGUAGAUAUCGUCAGGAAUGCCGGUGGUGAAGACGGGUGACUGGGCUGGUUCUGACACUGAGGCACGAAAGCGUGGGGAGCGAACGGG